CGUAGGGACCAAGCGUUGUUCGGAUUUACUGGGCGUAAAGGGCGCGUAGGCGGCGCGGUAAGUCACUUGUGAAAUCUCUGAGCUUAACUCAGAACGGCCAAGUGAUACUGCAGUGCUAGAGUGUGGAAGGGGCAAUCGGAAUUCUUGGUGUAGCGGUGAAAUGCGUAGAUAUCAAGAGGAACACCUGAGGUGAAGACGGGUUGCUGGGCCAACACUGACGCUGAUGCGCGAAAGCCAGGGGAGCAAACGGGAUUAGAUACCCCGGUAGUCCUGGCCCUAAACGAUGAAUACUUGGUGUCUGGAGUUUUAAUGCUCCGGGUGCCGUCGCUAACGUUUUUAGUAUUCCGCCUGGGGAGUACGCUCGCAAGAGUG
rnacentral:rRNA from 1 species